rnacentral:rRNA from 1 species
GAUGAACGCUGGCGGCGUGCCUAACACAUGCAAGUCGAGCGAUUUACUUCGGUAAAGAGCGGCGGACGGGUGAGUAACGCGUGGGUAACCUGCCCUGUACACACGGAUAACAUACCGAAAGGUAUGCUAAUACGAGAUAAUAUACUUUUAUCGCAUGGUAGAAGUAUCAAAGCUUUUGCGGUACAGGAUGGACCCGCGUCUGAUUAGCUAGUUGGUUAGGUAACGGCUUACCAAGGCGACGAUCAGUAGCCGACCUGAGAGGGUGAUCGGCCACAUUGGAACUGAGACACGGUCCAAACUCCUACGGGAGGCAGCAGUGGGGAAUAUUGCACAAUUGGCGAAAGCCUGAUGCAGCAACGCCGCGUGAGCGAUGAAGGCCUUCGGGUCGUAAAGCUCUGUCCUCAAGGAAGAUAAUGACGGUACUUGAGGAGGAAGCCCCGGCUAACUACGUGCCAGCCGCCGCCGUAACAC